AUGGCAUCCGUGGCGACGGAACCGGCGGUCGGGCGGGAGGGCGACAAGAUGGUGAUCACGCCGCUCGGCGGCGGCAGCGAGGUCGGCCGCUCCUGCGUCCACAUGACCUUCAAGGGCUGCACCGUCCUCGUAAGCAUCCCCUCUCCCCCAAACCCUACACCCCGCCACCGUCGACGUCCUCCUCAUCACGCAUUUUCACCUGGACCACGCGGCCUCGCUGCCCUACUUCCUGGAGAAGUGUUCAUGACCCACGCCACCAAGGCCAUCUACAGGCUGCUGCUCUCCGAUUACGUCAAGGUCAGCAAGGUGUCCGCGGAGGACAUGCUCUUCGACGAGCAGGACAUUCUCAGGUCCAUGGAAAAAAUUGAGGUCAUAGAGUUCCACCAGACGUUGGAAGUUAAUGGCAUACGCUUCUGGUGCUAUACUGCAGGCCAUGUACUUGGAGCUGCCAUGUUCAUGGUGGAUAUUGCUGGCGUUCGCAUUCUUUACACUGGUGACUACUCCCGUGAAGAAGACAGGCACCUGAAAGCUGCUGAGAUCCCCCAGUUCUCCCCUGAUAUUUGCAUUAUCGAGUCAACUUACGGUGUGCAGCGACACCAACCCCGCCAUGUCAGAGAGAAGCGCUUCACUGAUGCCAUCCACAACACUGUUUCUCAAGGGGGCCGUGUUCUUAUCCCGGCAUUUGCUCUUGAGCUCCAUAAGAUUCCAAUCUAUUACGCCUCCCCUCUUGUGAAGAAGUGUAUGGCUGUCUACCAGACAUACAUAAACUCCAUGAAUGACAGGAUCCGCAACCAGUUUGCACGGUCCAAUCCCUUCCAUUUCAAGCAUAUUGACCCUUUGAAUAGCAUAGACAACUUCCAUGAUGUUGGUCCGUCAGUGGUGAUGGCAAGUCCAGGUUAUGCUGUUGCUGGCUCACUUGCAAAGACCAUCAUCACUGAGCCGAGAGAAGUGGAGCUAGCAAAUGGGCUCAAUGCUCCUCUCAAUAUGCAGAUCUUCUACAUCUCCUUUUCAGCCCAUGCCGAUUUCCCACAGACGAGCGGCUUCCUGGGCGAGCUUCGCCCACCCAACAUUAUCCUUGUACACGGGGAAGCAAAUGAGAUGGGGAGGCUCAGACAGAAACUUAUCACUCAGUUCGAGGGAACAGACACACAGAUCGUGUCUCCCAAGAACUGCCAACCAGUGCAGCUGUUUUUCAGCUCUCAAAAGAUGGCCAAGGCAAUUGGCAUAUUGGCAGAAACUGUGCCAGAAGUGGGAGAUUCGGUCAGUGGUUUGCUUGUGAAGAAGGGCUUCACGUACCAGAUUAUGGCUCCGGAGGAUCUCCGGGUGUACACCCAGCUAUCUACUGCCAACAUUACUCAGCGGCUCACCGUCCCAUAUUCCGGUUCUUUUGAAGUCAUCAAGUACAGACUGAGGCAAAUAUACGAGAGCGUGGAAUCAUCAACCGACGAAUCCGAUGUUCCAACACUGAUUGUUCAUGAGAGGGUGACCAUCCGCCUGGAUUCAGAGAGCUACGUGACGCUACAGUGGUCCUCUGAUCCCAUAAGCGACAUGGUGUCUGAUUCCGUGGUGGCCAUGAUCUUGAACAUAGGGCGUGAGGGACCAAAGGCCGUUCCGAUGGAAGAGGAAACGGAGAUGGUGGCGCAGAAGGUGGUAUAUGCUCUAAUGGUGUCGGUCUUCGGCGACGUUCAAGUGGUGCAGGAAGGGAUGCUUGUUAUAACUGUGGAUGGAGAUAUUGCUUACUUGGAUGGGAGGAGUGGUGAUGUUGAGUGCGCGAAUGCUGCGCUGAAAGAGAGGAUCCAGACUGCGUUCCGUCGCAUUCAGGGUGCUCCCCGUGUUCAUUUGGUCUUCCUCAUAUUCAUGUUUGGUCUUCCUCAUAUUCAUGGCGCUGCCUGGGGCAACGAUCACUUCUGCUUAACGACCAAAGAAAUUACCACUGUGGAGAGGUCCUUUAAGAGUACCUGCCGCACCUCCGCCUCCAAUGUUAGAGGCUGGCGUGGAUGUUCAUCCUUGUUCCGAUGUUUUCUCCAAAUCAAUCAGGUGCCGGACUGGGAGCGACCGGAGGCGUUUUUGCAGCUGCCACCGUGCGCCUGCUCCUCGCCUUUCUACCAGCAUCACCAACUCGCCAACAUAUAUGAAGUAGCUUAA
rnacentral:rRNA from 1 species